GAGGCGUAGAUGAUUGACGUUCAGCAAGCUGAGGUGAUCUGACUUUUAAUCAGAGGGUCGAAGGUUCGAGUCCUUCAUGGCUCACCA
rnacentral:tRNA from 1 species